CCCUCAGGAUAGCUAGAGUCUUUAUCAGUUUUGUCAGGUAAAGCGAAUGAUUAGAGUUCCGGGAAAGUAACUUCCUCGACCUAUUCUCAAACUUUAAAUGGGCAAGAUCCAGUAGUUACUUAAUUGAACUAUGGGGGUCAAUGAGACGACUCUAAGUGGGCCAUUUUUGGUAAGCAGAACUGGCGAUGAGGGAUGAACCUAACGCUCGGUUAAGGUGCUAAACUGCUCGCUCAUCAGAUACCACAAAGGGUGUUGGUCGAUCUUAACAGCAGGACGGUGGUCAUGGAAGUCGAAAUCCGCUAAGGAGUGUGUAACAACUCACCUGCCGAAUCGACUAGCCCCGAAAAUGGAUAGCGCUGAAGCGAGUGACCGAUACCGGGCCAUUGUUGCAAGAUAAUUGGCAACAAUGAGUAGGAGGGCGUGGGGGUUGUGAAGAAGCUUGGACGUGAGUCUGAGUGAAACAGCUUCCAGUGCAGAUCUUGGUGGUAGUAGCAAGUAUUCAAUAAGAGAACAUUGAAGGCCGAAGUGGGGAAGGGUUCCAUGUGAACAGCACUUGGACAUGGGUUAGCCGAUCCUGAGAGACAGGUUAAAUUCCAUCGGAUUGGAGCUUUGGCUCUGUUUCUCGAAAGGGAAGCUGGUUAGUAUUCCAGCGCCGAGACGUGGAUAAUAUGUGGCAACACAAGUGAACUCGGACACGCCAUAGGGGACCCCAGGAAGCGUUGUCUUUUCUUUUUAACAGUUCGACUUACCCUGGAAUCAGAUCAUCUGGAGAUAGGGUUUUCGAACUGGAAUAGCACCUUGUCUAACAGGGUGUCUGGAGUGUUCUCGCUGGCCCUUGAAAAUCCGAGGGAUAGAUUUAUUCGCACUCUCGAUCGUACCCAUAACCGCAUCAGGUCUCCAAGGUUAGAAGCCUCUGGUCCGUAGGACAAAGUAGAUAAGGGAAGUCGGCAAAAUAGGUCCGUAACUUCGGGAAAAGGACUGGCUCUGAGGUUGGUAUGUG
rnacentral:ncRNA from 1 species